CCGUACACAAAAGCGCAUGUGCUGUGAGCUCGAUGAGUAGGGCGGGACACGUGGUAUCCUGUCUGAAUAUGGGGGGACCAUCCUCCAAGGCUAAAUACUCCUGACUGACCGAUAGUGAACCAGUACCGUGAGGGAAAGGCGAAAAGAACCCCGGCGAGGGGAGUGAAAAAGAACCUGAAACCGUGUACGUACAAGCAGUGGGAGCACCCUUUGGGUGUGACUGCGUACCUUUUGUAUAAUGGGUCAGCGACUUAUAUUCUGUAGCAAGGUUAACCGAAUAGGGGAGCCGGAGGGAAACCGAGUCUUAACCGGGCGUUAAGUUGCAGGGUAUAGACCCGAAACCCGGUGAUCUAGCCAUGGGCAGGUUGAAGGUUGGGUAACACUAACUGGAGGACCGAACCGACUAAUGUUGAAAAAUUAGCGGAUGACCUGUGGCUGGGGGUGAAAGGCCAAUCAAACCGGGAGAUAGCUGGUUCUCCCCGAAAGCUAUUUAGGUAGCGCCUCGUGAAUUCAUCUCCGGGGGUAGAGCACUGUUUCGGCUAGGGGGCCAUCCCGGCUUACCAACCCGAUGCAAACUGCGAAUACCGGAGAAUGUUAUCACGGGAGACACACGGCGGGUGCUAACGUCCGUCGUGAAGAGGGAAACAACCCAGACCGCCAGCUAAGGUCCCAAAGUCAUGGUUAAGUGGGAAACGAUGUGGGAAGGCCCAGACAGCCAGGAUGUUGGCUUAGAAGCAGCCAUCAUUUAAAGAAAGCGUAAUAGCUCACUGGUCGAGUCGGCCUGCGCGGAAGAUGUAACGGGGCUAAACCAUGCACCGAAGCUGCGGCAGCGACACUGUGUGUUGUUGGGUAGGGGAGCGUUCUGUAAGCCUGUGAAGGUGUGUCGUGAGGCAUGCUGGAGGUAUCAGAAGUGCGAAUGCUGACAUAAGUAACGAUAAAGCGGGUGAAAAGCCCGCUCGCCGGAAGACCAAGGGUUCCUGUCCAACGUUAAUCGGGGCAGGGUGAGUCGACCCCUAAGGCGAGGCCGAAAGGCGUAGUCGAUGGGAAACGGGUUAAUAUUCCCGUACUUGGUGUUACUGCGAAGGGGGGACGGAGAAGGCUAUGUUGGCCGGGCGACGGUUGUCCCGGUUUAAGCGUGUAGGUGUGUGUUCCAGGUAAAUCCGGUUCACUUUAACACUGAGGCGUGACGACGAGGCACUACGGUGCUGAAGCAACAAAUGCCCUGCUUCCAGGAAAAGCCUCUAAGCAUCAGGUAACAUCAAAUCGUACCCCAAACCGACACAGGUGGUCAGGUAGAGAAUACCAAGGCGCUUGAGAGAACUCGGGUGAAGGAACUAGGCAAAAUGGUGCCGUAACUUCGGGAGAAGGCACGCUGACACGUAGGUGAAGUGAUUUACUCAUGGAGCUGAA
rnacentral:rRNA from 1 species